UAUGCAUGUUUCCUGACAGGACUUUUACGGGCUUUUCCCAAAUCACGGAAGAAACGUCGACGCAGUGGUAUAGUAGCAGAUGCAGAGGCAAGUGCUAUU